rnacentral:rRNA from 1 species
UACGUAGGGUGCGAGCGUUAAUCGGAAUUACUGGGCGUAAAGCGUGCGCAGGCGGUUUUGUAAGCCAGAUGUGAAAUCCCCGGGCUUAACCUGGGAAUGGCAUUUGGGACUGCAAGGCUUGAGUGCGGCAGAGGAGACUAGAAUUCCUGGUGUAGCAGUGAAAUGCGUAGAUAUCAGGAGGAAUACCGAUGGCGAAGGCAGGUCUCUGGGCUGACACUGACGCUCAUGCACGAAAGCGUGGGGAGCAAACGGG